UACGAAGGGGGCGAGCGUUGUUCGGAAUCACUAGGCUUAAAGGGCGCGUAGGCGGGCUGUCAAGUCUGGGGUGAAAUGCCGCGGCUCAACCGUGGAACUGCCUUAGAUACUGACGGCCUCGAGGAAGGUAGGGGCAUGCGGAACUGUAGGUGGAGCGGUGAAAUGCGUUGAUAUCUACAGGAACUCCGGUGGCGAAAGCGGCGUGCUGGACCUUUUCGUGACGCUGAGGCGACGAAAGCGUAGGGGGAGCAAAACGGG
rnacentral:rRNA from 1 species